rnacentral:misc_RNA from 1 species
GAUGAAGAACGUAGCGAAAUGCGAUAAGUAAUGCGAAUUGCAGAAUUCAGUGAGUCAUCGAAUCUUUGAACGCACAUUGCGCCCGCUAGUAUUCUGGCGGGCAUGCCUGUCCGAGCGUCAUUUCAACCCUCAAGCCCCCGGGCUUGGUGUUGGGGAUCGGCGAGCCUCCGCGCCCGCCGUCCCCUAAAUCUAGUGGCGGUCUCGCUGUAGCUUCCUCUGCGUAGUAGCACACCUCGCACUGGGAAACAGCGCGGCCACGCCGUUAAACCCCCAACUUCUGAACGUUUGACCUCGGAUCAGGUAGGAAUACCCGCUGAACUUAAGCAUAUCAAUACGGAGGA